AACUCAGUGGUCCAAUGAUAAAGCGUUCGCCGCGGAGCCAGAGUGUCUUGGGUUCGAUUCCCGACGGGGUCG
rnacentral:tRNA from 1 species